GGGGGGUUAGCUUAAUGGUAGAGCGUCAGAUUCCAGUCCUGAAGGUUGGGAGUUCGAUUCUCUCACUCCUCA
rnacentral:tRNA from 1 species